UGACAGAAGCAAUCUGCCCGUGU
rnacentral:piRNA from 1 species